rnacentral:tRNA from 1 species
GCGUCUAUAGCUCAACUGGACAGAGCAACGGCCUUCUAAGCCGUGGGCUGCGGGUUCGAAUCCCGUUAGACGCA